rnacentral:piRNA from 1 species
UUCGUUGAAUCUUUCUCUUAU